rnacentral:rRNA from 1 species
UACGUAGGGGGCUAGCGUUGUCCGGAUUUAUUGGGCGUAAAGAGCGUGUAGGCGGCCAGAUAGGUCUGCUGUGAAAACUCGAGGCUCAACCUCGAGCUGUCGGCGGAAACCAUUUGGCUAGAGUCCGGAAGAGGAAAGUGGAAUUCCUGGUGUAGCGGUGAAAUGCGCAGAUAUCAGGAAGAACACCCGUGGCGAAGGCGGCUUUCUGGGACGGUACUGACGCUGAGACGCGAAAGCGUGGGGGAGCGAACAGG